rnacentral:rRNA from 1 species
GCCCUUCGCGGUUACUAGCAACUCCGCGUUCAUGCAGGCGAGUUGCAGCCUGCAAUCCCAACUGAGACCGGCUUUGCUGCGAUUCGCUCCGGGUCGCCCCAUCGCUGCGCGUUGUACCGGCCAUUGUAGCGUGUGUGUAGCCCUGGACGUAAGAGCCGUGCUGACUUGACGUCAUCCCCACCUUCCUCCGGGUUGGACCCGGCGGUCCCGCCAGACAUGGUAACUGGCAGCGAGGGUUGCGCUCGUUGCGGGACUUAACCCAACACCUCACGGCACGAGCUGACGACAAGCCAUGCAGCAUCUGUGCGCGCUCCCUUGCGGGUCCUCCCCCUUUCGAGGUCGUACCACGCGCAUGUCAAGCCCAGGUAAGGUUCUUCGCGUUGCGUCGAAUUAAACCACACGCUCCGCUAAGGGC